rnacentral:rRNA from 1 species
CAAUAGCGUAUAUUAAAGUUGUUGCAGUUAAAAAGCUCGUAGUUGGAUCUGUGGUGUGUGGUGGGCUCCGGGCACUUGUUGUCUGAGUAGCUCGCCGCUGCCAUCCUUGGGUGGAACCUGUGUGGCAUUAGGUUGUCGUGCAGGGGAUGCCCAUCGUUUACUGUGAAAAAAUUAGAGUGUUCAAAGCAGGCUUAUGCCGUUGAAUAUAUUAGCAUGGAAUAAUGAGAUAGGACUUUUUCGCUAUUUUGUUGGUUUGCGCGAAGAGGUAAUGAUUAAUAGGGACAGUUGGGGGUAUUCGUAUUCCAUUGUCAGAGGUGAAAUUCUUGGAUUUUUGGAAGACGAACUACUGCGAAAGCAUUUACCAAGGAUGUUUUCAUUAA